rnacentral:rRNA from 1 species
UUUUAUGGAGAGUUUGAUCCUGGCUCAGGAUGAACGCUGGCGGCGUGCCUAAUACAUGCAAGUCGAGCGAACGGACGAGAAGCUUGCUUCUCUGAUGUUAGCGGCGGACGGGUGAGUAACACGUGGAUAACCUACCUAUAAGACUGGGAUAACUUCGGGAAACCGGAGCUAAUACCGGAUAAUAUUUUGAACCGCAUGGUUCAAAAGUGAAAGACGGUCUUGCUGUCACUUAUAGAUGGAUCCGCGCUGC